AGUGCCCCCAAUUCCCAAAAUCCCAAAAUCCCAGUGCCCCCAAUUCCCAAAAUCCCAGUGCCCCCAAUUCCCAAAUUCCCGAAUUCCCAAAAUCCCAGUGCCCCCAAUUCCCGAAUUCCCAAAAUCCCAGUGCCCCCAAUUCCCGAAUUCCUGAAAUCCCAAAAUCCCAGUGCCCCCAAUUCCCAAUAUCCCAGUGCCCGGAAUUCCCCAAUUCCCAAAAUCCCAAAAUCCCAGUGCCCCCAAUUCCCAAAAUCCCAGUGCCCCCAAUUCCCAAAAUCCCAAAAUCCCAAAAUCCCAAUUCCCGAAUUCCCAAAAUCCCAGUGCCCCCAAUUCCCAAAAUCCCAAUGCCCCCAAUUCCCGAAUUCCCAACAUUCCCAAUGCCCCCAAAUUCCCAAAAUCCCAGUGCCCCGAAUUCCCAAAUUCCCAAUGCCCGGAAUUCCCAAAAUCCCAAUGCCCCGAAUUCCCAAAAUCCCAGUGCCCCCAAUUCCCAAAAUCCCAGUGCCCCCAAUUCCCAAAAUCCCGAAUUCCCAAAAUCCCAGUGCCCCCAAUUCCCAAAAUCCCAAUGCCCAGAAUUCCCGAAUUCCCAAAAUCCCAGUGCCCCCGGAAUUCCUGAAUUCCCAAAUUCCCAGUGCCCCGAAUUCCCAAAUUCCCAAUGCCCGGGAUUCCCAAAUUCCCACCCAGGAUUCCAAAAUUCCCAGCAAAAUUCCCAAAUUCCUGCCCAGAAUUCCCAACAUUCCCAAAUUUCCGGCCGGAAUUCCCAAUAUUCCCACCCAGAAUUCCCAGCAAAAUCCCAAAUUCCCCAAAAUCCCACCCGUAAUUCCCAAAUUUCCGCCUGGAAUUCCCAAAAUUCCCAGCAAAAUUCCCAAAUUCCCGGCAAAACCCCAUCCAGAAUUCCCAAAUUUCUGGCAAAAUCUCACCCGGAAUUCCCAAAAUUCCCAGGAAAUUCCCGCCCAAAGUUCACAAAUUCCCGGCAAAAUUCUGACCAGAAUUCCCAAAUUCCCACCCAGAAUUCCCAAAAUUCCCAAAUUUCCAGGAAAUUCCUGCCCGGAAUUCCCAAAUUCCCACCUAGAAUUCCCCAAUUCCCAGCAAAAUCCUUCAUGGAAUUCCCAAAUUUUCAAAAUCCUCCCUGGAAUUCCCAAAAUUCCCAAAUUCCCACCCGGAAUUCCCGAAAUUCCCACCUGGAUCCGAAAUUCCCACCCCAAAAUCCCCAAAUUUUCCCAAUCCCAUUAAAAAAUCCCGACCCGAGACACAAAAAUUCCUCCAAAAUUCCGAUUUUAAUUCCAAUUUCCAUGGGAAUUUUUAAUCAAAGUGGAUUGGGAGCCCCGAAAUUCCCACCUGGAUCCCGAAAUUCCCGCCUAAAAUUCCAAAAAUUCCCAAAAAAUCC
rnacentral:lncRNA from 1 species